GUGACUCCUGACCAUGAAAUUCUGGUCGACAAAUUGGACUGCUCUGCUAUCAUUACUGUCACUGUGCCCACUGAAAUUCAUGCUGUUAUUCCACGUAUUCAUAGUGUUAGUGAGAAGCAGGCAGAUAAAAGCAGAUGGAAAGCUGGCUGACCUGUACAGUAGGUACUUGUGGCUUGAAAAGAAAUGCCUUAAAACGUGCCCAGUGAAUUAAUUGGCUUUUACUAUAUAGAAAGGAGGCAAGUCUCUAACCAGGUAAUUUAAAUCUUUAACAAAAUACCAGUUAAAAAAUCUUUGAACGAUGGCUCAUGGGAGGAAAAUAAGGAAGGCUCUAAGAUAACUAACUGCUUUUGAAAUGUACGAAAUCACAUGGCUGAGUUCCUGAUGUAUUAAACUGCA